rnacentral:misc_RNA from 1 species
GAAAUAAUAAACUCUUUCCCCUUCACGGGGAACUGUUACGAGAGGUCCAGCACAGGCAUGCCAAAGUUCCUUGUAUAAUGCAUUAUUUGCAGAUGCCCCUGGAUGUGUCCCACCACCGAAAUGAUUUGCAGCAACGUGUGCCAUAAGAAAAUCAAUUUGAAGUCACCAACUCUUAAGUGAUUAUCUGCGUCUUCAGAAGAGUAUACCUCUCAAUGAAUUCCCGGCAAAAUUAACUAGAUCCAACUUAAGUAUUCACCCGGAUUUCGCUAUAUCUCAUCAUAAUCAACGUAUAUAACGUUCAUUUCUAUGUACAAAAACAGCAGAGAAUCGAAAAAAC